UACGUAGGGGGCAAGCGUUGUCCGGAUUCAUUGGGCGUAAAGAGCUCGUAGGCGGCUUGGCAAGUCGGGUGUGAAAACUCCAGGCUCAACCUGGAGACGCCACCCGAUACUGCCAUGGCUAGAGUCCGGUAGGGGACCACGGAAUUCCUGGUGUAGCGGUGAAAUGCGCAGAUAUCAGGAGGAACACCAAUGGCGAAGGCAGCUCGCUGGGACGGUACUGACGCUGAGACGCGAAAGCGUGGGGAGCAAACAGG
rnacentral:rRNA from 1 species